CACCCCAGCCCUCACUUCAUUCUUUGCUGUCUUCUUUCAUUUUUAGAAAUUUGCAUCGUUUUAUCAUCUCAUUCCCAGAACUCACAACUCCUUUUUCCUCUGGUUCUCUUUUCACAGCAUUCAACAAUGAUUUUGUCAUUUUCGGAGUCUGGUGGAAGCCUUGCAAGUGCCCAUCUGCCUUUUUCAUGCAGAGUCCAGGUGUCAUUCCUCAUUUGAAGCUCACGUGGUAAAACCUGCGCUCCGUUGGAGUCAGCAGAGUGCAGAGGGCUGGAAGUCAACAAGGUGCCAGGACACUUGAGCAAGCAGAAAGCAAGAAGGUUGUGUCAUGGGAAGUAAUCCACUCCCAGUCCCUAAUGCAAUGUCUUCAUCUGAUCAUUCUUCUGAGAAGAUUUAGUUGACACUUCCAUCCCACACCUCCUGGUUGAGCAAAGUUUGUGAGACAAUGCUUAUUAAGUGCUUAACAUUGAGCCUGCCAUAUAGUAAAAGCACGUGAGCACUUCUGCCAGUGCCUUUAUGUGUACGGUCGUUUUUAUCCUCUCACCUUCUCUGCAAAAUGGGCAGUGAUCUUAUCUUUACUAAAUGAGCAAUCUGAAGCUCAGGUAAGUUGUGGAAUAGAAAAGGUAAGACAUCAAUUUUUCAUGUGUUGCUUUUAAAAAACUUAGUGAAUGUCUACUGUUUUCCAGGCACUGUUCUAAGUACUGUAGAAACCCCCAUUUCCUGUCUUCAUAAAGAGGACUCUGUAGUGAGUGAAUAGGGAGCUGAAUUUGGAUCAGUAUUGAGGAACUAAUGGAGGUGGGACACAGAUCAUGGGAACCUGGUAAAUCUUGUCUUUGACUCUUAGAAGAAUGGGAUCUGCAGGGUCCUUGUACUUGCUUUAAUGGUCUGUUAGUCUUUUCUACAUCUUUUUUUUUAAAGCAUCAUUUUAUUGGCUUAACAUUAAAGUCCUGUCUCAGGGCCCAUAACCCAGAAUCCUAAAGAGGGCCACAGCAGGCAGCCACAGUGUAAGGGAGGAGCCCUGGUGUGUGUUCCUGGGUAGGCAACACACUGACAGUUGUCUUAAGACACCUCACAGUCUCCUCUGCCACCUAGAUCUCCAGUGAUGUGGGCAGUGGUCAGGAUCACCCAGAGGUAAGGUAGAGGUAGAAUAAACUUCACCUUGAUUCUCUGACUAACAUAAUUUCCCUUUUCACGAGGUGUAUUGACUGUGAAUAUUGGUUCUGCAAACUUAGGCUCCUCUUUGCCUGGUACACUAUGGUGUGACUGCCUUCACCAAACCCAGGAUUAGCAUCUCCUGUGAACAUUCAACCUUCAGAGUGAAAAAUCAAUAAAGCAUUUUCAACAAAGAAACCGGUAAUGCUUGGAUAAAUGAGUGAUUGAAUAAAUGCAUUGUCCUUAUUAUGAAUCAAAACUUACCUGCCCUGUGCAAUUU